rnacentral:rRNA from 1 species
GUCGACGCGGAGUUUUUACCUUUCGGGAUAAGUUAGCGGCGGACGGGUGAGUAACACGUAGGUAACCUCGCCUAUAAGACUCGGGAUAACUAUCGGAAACGAUAGCUAAGACCGGAUAACUGGUUUUCUCGCAUGAGAGAAUUAUGAAACACGGAGCAAUCUGUGGCUUAUAGAUGGGCCUGCGGCGCAUUAGCUAGUUGGUAGGGUAACGGCCUACCAAGGCGACGAUGCGUAGCCGACCUGAGAGGGUGAACGGCCACACUGGGACUGAGACACGGCCCAGACUCCUACGGGAGGCAGCAGUAGGGAAUCUUCCGCAAUGGACGCAAGUCUGACGGAGCAACGCCGCGUGAGUGAUGAAGGUUUUCGGAUCGUAAAGCUCUGUUGCCCUAGACGAACAGCAAGAAGAGUAACUGCCUUUUGUGUGACGGUAUAGGAGAAGAAAGCCCCGGCUAACUACGUGCCAGCAGCCGCGGUAAUACGUAGGGGGCAAGCGUUGUCCGGAAUUAUUGGGCGUAAAGCGCGCGCAGGCGGUCAAUUAAGUUGGGUGUUUAAGCCCGGGGCUCAACCCCGGUUUCGCAUCCAAAACUGGUUGACUUGAGUGUAGGAGAGGAAAAGUGGAAUUCCCACGUGUAGCGGUGAAAUGCGUAGAGAUGGUGGAGGAACACCAGUGGGCGAAGGCGACUUUUCUGGCCUAUAACUGACGCUGAGG